rnacentral:rRNA from 1 species
AGAGUUUGAUCAUGGCUCAGAUUGAACGCUGGCGGCAGGCCUAACACAUGCAAGUCGAACGGUAACAGGAAGCAGCUUGCUGCUUCGCUGACGAGUGGCGGACGGGUGAGUAAUGUCUGGGAAGCUGCCUGAUGGAGGGGGAUAACUACUGGAAACGGUAGCUAAUACCGCAUAAUGUCGCAAGACCAAAGAGGGGGACCUUCGGGCCUCUUGCCAUCGGAUGUGCCCAGAUGGGAUUAGCUUGUUGGUGGGGUAACGGCUCACCAAGGCGACGAUCCCUAGCUGGUCUGAGAGGAUGACCAGCCACACUGGAACUGAGACACGGUCCAGACCCCUACGGGAGGCAGCAGUGGGGAAUAUUGCACAAUGGGCGCAAGCCUGAUGCAGCCAUGCCGCGUGUAUGAAGAAGGCCUUCGGGUUGUAAAGUACUUUCAGCGGGGAGGAAGGGAGUAAAGUUAAUACCUUUGCUCAUUGACGUUACCCGCAGAAGAAGCACCGGCUAACUCCGUGCCAGCAGCCGCGGUAAUACGGAGGGUGCAAGCGUUAAUCGGAAUUACUGGGCGUAAAGCGCACGCAGGCGGUUUGUUAAGUCAGAUGUGAAAUCCCCGGGCUCAACCUGGGAACUGCAUCUGAUACUGGCAAGCUUGAGUCUCGUAGAGGGGGGUAGAAUUCCAGGUGUAGCGGUGAAAUGCGUAGAGAUCUGGAGGAAUACCGGUGGCGAAGGCGGCCCCCUGGACGAAGACUGACGCUCAGGUGCGAAAGCGUGGGGAGCAAACAGGAUUAGAUACCCUGGUAGUCCACGCCGUAAACGAUGUCGACUUGGAGGUUGUGCCCUUGAGGCGUGGCUUCCGGAGCUAACGCGUUAAGUCGACCGCCUGGGGAGUACGGCCGCAAGGUUAAAACUCAAAUGAAUUGACGGGGGCCCGUACAAGCGGUGGAGCAUGUGGUUUAAUUCGAUGCAACGCGAAGAACCUUACCUGGUCUUGACAUCCACGGAAGUUUUCAGAGAUGAGAAUGUGCCUUCGGGAAUCGUGAGACAGGUGCUGCAUGGCUGUCGUCAGCUCGUGUUGUGAAAUGUUGGGUUAAGUCCCGCAACGAGCGCAACCCUUAUCCUUUGUUGCCAGCGGUCCGGCCGGGAACUCAAAGGAGACUGCCAGUGAUAAACUGGAGGAAGGUGGGGAUGACGUCAAGUCAUCAUAGCCCUUACGACCAGGGCUACACACGUGCUACAAUGGCGCAUACAAAGAGAAGCGACCUCGCGAGAGCAAGCGGACCUCAUAAAGUGCGUCGUAGUCCGGAUUGGAGUCUGCAACUCGACUCCAUGAAGUCGGAAUCGCUAGUAAUCGUGGAUCAGAAUGCCACGGUGAAUACGUUCCCGGGCCUUGUACACACCGCCCGUCACACCAUGGGAGUGGGUUGCAAAAGAAGUAGGUAGCUUAACCUUCGGGAGGGCGCUUACCACUUUGUGAUUCAUGACUGGGGUGAAGUCGGAACAAGGUA